UGGGGAAUAUUGCACAAUGGGCGCAAGCCUGAUGCAGCCAUGCCGCGUGUAUGAAGAAGGCCUUCGGGUUGUAAAGUACUUUCAGCGGGGAGGAAGGGAGUAAAGUUAAUACCUUUGCUCAUUGACGUUACCCGCAGAAGAAGCACCGGCUAACUCCGUGCCAGCAGCCGCGGUAAUACGGAGGGUGCAAGCGUUAAUCGGAAUUACUGUGCGUAAAGCGCACGCAGGCGGUUUGUUAAGUCAGAUGUGAAAUCCCCGGGCUCAACCUGGGAACUGCAUCUGAUACUGGCAAGCUUGAGUCUCGUAGAGGGGGGUAGAAUUCCAGGUGUAGCGGUGAAAUGCGUAGAGAUCUGGAGGAAUACCGGUGGCGAAGGCGGCCCCCAGGACGAAGACUGACGCUCAGGUGCGAAAGCGUGGGGAGCAAACAGG
rnacentral:rRNA from 1 species